rnacentral:misc_RNA from 1 species
AGGUGGCCCAGCAGCGGCCGCGACGGCGGGCUCGGCGCGCCGUUGCCGUUGCCGUGCCCCUGACCACGCCGCCUCGAGGACCAGACGGCCGCCGCGAGGAGGAGCAGGGAGACGGCGAGGGCAAGGAGGAGAACGGGAGCGUCGCCGCUCGACGACACGGCCGUCGCCGCCGCGUCCAUGGCUGCAAGUUCCGACGUCCUCGCUGCCGCCGCGUAUUCGAGCACGAGCAGACGCCACCCACCGAGUGUGUGGCGCCGUGGCCGUGCCGUAGCUGUGGGACAGUGGGAGAAAGGAAGGCAGGGAAGGACGAGAGGGUGCCGGGGAGAUAUUUUUAUCUUGUGUCUGUCAACAUCGAGAGGAUACGUACGUGCUCCAAUGACGAGGAUGGCGAUAGGCCGGCU